rnacentral:piRNA from 1 species
UAACUCCACAGCUUUUCUGGGGUGCA